rnacentral:rRNA from 1 species
UUAAGUUAAUAAGGGCGCACGGUGGAUGCCUUGGCACUAGGAGCCGACGAAGGACGUGACAAACGACGAUAUGCCUUGGGUAGCUGUAAGUAAGCGAUGAUCCAGGGAUUUCCGAAUGGGGGAACCCAACAGGUAGUACCUGUUACCCACAUCUGUUAAGGAUGUGAGGAGGAAGACGCAGUGAACUGAAACAUCUAAGUAGCUGCAGGAAGAGAAAGCAAAAGCGAUUGCCUUAGUAGCGGCGAGCGAAACGGCAGGAGGGCAAACCGAAGAGUUUACUCUUCGGGGUUGUAGGACUGCAAUGUGGACUCAAAGAUUAUAGAAGAAUGAUUUGGGAAGAUCAGCCAAAGAGAGUAAUAGCCUCGUAUUUAAAAUAAUCUUUGUACCUAGCAGUAUCCUGAGUACGGCGGGACACGUGAAAUCCCGUCGGAAUCUGGGAGGACCAUCUCCCAACCCUAAAUACUCCCUAGUGACCGAUAGUGAACCAGUACCGUGAGGGAAAGGUGAAAAGCACCCCGGGAGGGGAGUGAAAUAGAACCUGAAACCGUGUGCCUACAACAAGUUCGAGCCCGUUAAUGGGUGAGAGCGUGCCUUUUGUAGAAUGAACCGGCGAGUUACGUUAUGAUGCGAGGUUAAGUUGAAGAGACGGAGCCGUAGGGAAACCGAGUCUGAAUAGGGCGCCUUAGUAUCAUGACGUAGACCCGAAACCAUGUGACCUACCCAUGAGCAGGUUGAAGGUGCGGUAAGACGCACUGGAGGACCGAACCAGGGCACGUUGAAAAGUGCUUGGAUGACUUGUGGGUAGCGGAGAAAUUCCAAACGAACUUGGAGAUAGCUGGUUCUCUCCGAAAUAGCUUUAGGGCUAGCGUCGACAUUAGAGAUUCUUGGAGGUAGAGCACUGUUUGGGUGAGGGGUCCAUCCCGGAUUACCAAUCUCAGAUAAACUCCGAAUGCCAAUGAAUUAUGGUCGGCAGUCAGACUGCGAGUGCUAAGAUCCGUAGUCGAAAGGGAAACAGCCCAGACCACCAGCUAAGGUCCCAAAAUAAUUGUUAAGUGGAAAAGGAUGUGGGGUUGCACAGACAACUAGGAUGUUAGCUUAGAAGCAGCUAUUCAUUCAAAGAGUGCGUAAUAGCUCACUAGUCGAGUGACCCUGCGCCGAAAAUGUACCGGGGCUAAAACAAUUUACCGAAGCUGUGGAUACCUUUAUAGGUAUGGUAGGAGAGCGUUCUAUGUGUGAUGAAGGUAUACCGUGAGGAGUGCUGGAACGCAUAGAAGUGAGAAUGCCGGUAUNUAACAUUGAGCUGUGAUGGGGAGCGAAGUUUAGUAGCGAAGUUAGUGACGUCACACUGCCAAGAAAAGCUUCUAGCGUUUAAACAUACUCUACCCGUACCGCAAACCGACACAGGUAGUCGAGGCGAGUAGCCUCAGGUGAGCGAGAGAACUCUCGUUAAGGAACUCGGCAAAAUGACCCCGUAACUUCGGGAGAAGGGGUGCUGACUUUAAGUCAGCCGCAGUGAAUAGGCCCAAGCAACUGUUUAUCAAAAACACAGCUCUCUGCUAAAUCGUAAGAUGAUGUAUAGGGGGUGACGCCUGCCCGGUGCUGGAAGGUUAAGAGGAGUGCUUAGCGUAAGCGAAGGUAUGAAUUGAAGCCCCAGUAAACGGCGGCCGUAACUAUAACGGUCCUAAGGUAGCGAAAUUCCUUGUCGGGUAAGUUCCGACCCGCACGAAAGGCGUAAUGAUUUGGGCACUGUCUCAACGAGAGACUCGGUGAAAUUUUAGUACCUGUGAAGAUGCAGGUUACCCGCGACAGGACGGAAAGACCCCAUGGAGCUUUACUGCAGUUUGAUAUUGAGUGUCUGUACCACAUGUACAGGAUAGGUAGGAGUCUAAGAGAUCGGGACGCCAGUUUCGAAGGAGACGCUGUUGGGAUACUACCCUUGUGUUAUGGCCACUCUAACCCAGAUAGGUGAUCCCUAUCGGAGACAGUGUCUGACGGGCAGUUUGACUGGGGCGGUCGCCUCCUAAAAGGUAACGGAGGCGCCCAAAGGUUCCCUCAGAAUGGUUGGAAAUCAUUCGCAGAGUGUAAAGGUAUAAGGGAGCUUGACUGCGAGAGCUACAACUCGAGCAGGGACGAAAGUCGGGCUUAGUGAUCCGGUGGUUCCGUAUGGAAGGGCCAUCGCUCAACGGAUAAAAGCUACCCUGGGGAUAACAGGCUUAUCUCCCCCAAGAGUUCACAUCGACGGGGAGGUUUGGCACCUCGAUGUCGGCUCGUCGCAUCCUGGGGCUGUAGUCGGUCCCAAGGGUUGGGCUGUUCGCCCAUUAAAGCGGCACGCGAGCUGGGUUCAGAACGUCGUGAGACAGUUCGGUCCCUAUCCGUCGCGGGCGUAGGAAAUUUGAGAGGAUCUGCUCCUAGUACGAGAGGACCAGAGUGGACUUACCGCUGGUGUACCAGUUGUCUUGCCAAAGGCAUCGCUGGGUAGCUAUGUAGGGAAGGGAUAAACGCUGAAAGCAUCUAAGUGUGAAACCCACCUCAAGAUGAGAUUUCCCAUGAUUAUAUAUCAGUAAGAGCCCUGAGAGAUGAUCAGGUAGAUAGGUUAGAAGUGGAAGUGUGGCGACACAUGUAGCGGACUAAUACUAAUAGCUCGAGGACUUAUCCAA